rnacentral:rRNA from 1 species
GAUGAACGCUGGCGGCGUGCCUAAUACAUGCAAGUCGAGCGAACGGACGAGAAGCUUGCUUCUCUGAUGUUAGCGGCGGACGGGUGAGUAACACGUGGAUAACCUCCCUAUAAGACUGGGAUAACUUCGGGAAACCGGAGCUAAUACCGGAUAAUAUUUUGCACCGCAUGGUUCAAAAGUGAAAGACGGUCUUGCUGUCACUUCUAGAUGGAUCCGCGCUGCAUUAGCUAGUUGGUAAGGUAACGGCUUACCAAGGCAACGAUGCAUAGCCGACCUGAGAGGGGGAUAGGCCACACUGGAACUGAGACACGGUCCAGACGCCUACGGGAGGCAGCAGUAGGGAAUCUGCCGCAAUGGGCGAAAGCCUGACGGAGCAACGCCGCGUGAGUGAUGAAGGUCUUCGGAUCGUAAAACUCUGUUAUUAGGGAAGAACAGAUGUGUAAGUAACUGUGCACAGCUUGACGGUACCUAAUCAGAAAGCCACGGCUAACUACGUG